GAGAAUUAAGGAAAUUGAUGGUACCUUUACAGUUCUGUAAAUUGAGAAGUCGCAAGGAGGAGAAGGCGGCGGCAAUGACUGAGAGAUCGGAGUCGGUAACGCCGGGAUAGAAGGAGCGGGAGACGGACUGAGAGAGGUCGAGCUCGCGGAGGCGCGUGAAUCGGGCGGCGAGGCGGUUGAGCAUGUGGGGGCCGGCGCGGGCAGAGAGCUUGCGCCUCUCGAUGCUCUGGAGAUGGAGCCACCUUUUGCAGACAAGGCCGAAGAGCUCCUUGUCCUUGUCAUCUUGGAGCUUGGAGAGGACGGCUCGGAGCUCGUCGUCGCCCAGUCUCUCGUUAAUGCCGUCUUGGGGCUGGGCCAUUCCGCCGAUUAUACUCAGCGAUCACUUUUUCACAACCCUUCCCUUAUAUAUAUCUCACUCUCACAUGAUGGAGAUUGGAGACUCUCCUCUCUCCAAAUCACCACAAUGCCCUUCCAACUUUGCUUUUCAUUCAGUAUUAUAUGAAUUUUGUAACAUUAAACUGUUGUUGAGACAAUAAUUGUCUUUAUAUUAUACUCGCCUAUAAUAAUGACGUUUUAUUAUGAAUUUUGUAACAUUAAAUUGCUGUUGAGCCGAUUCCAAAAAAAAAAUGUUGUUCAGCCAAUAAUUGGCUUUAUAUUAUACUCAACGUCUAUUAUUGGAAGAUUAUCGUUUCGGUCAGGAUUAAUUACGUUAAAAUUCAUGAAUUUUACCUCAAUUUUAAACUUUUUCAUAACCUUUAAAUUUUAUCUGGAAUACCAUCAAUUUAAUGGGUCGUUCAAUUUUUCCACAAAUUUCAUAAUUCUUCAAAUUAGAAGCCGACAUGGCACAUUUUAAGUUGCCGGAAAUAUGACAAGGAAUUGUCCGACGAUGAAUAAAACGACGCUGUUUAGUUGGGGUAAAACGACGUCGUUUGGUUCUUUGACCUCUCUCUCUCCACUUUCUCUCUCUCUUCUCCGUCACAUGGAACUGGCGAAGGUCUCCUCCCCCUUCUUUUUCGGCGAAGGUCGCCGCCUUUUCGGCCACCAUCGUCUUUCUCGCUCGCUCAGACUGGAAAGCAACAGCGACAUCUAGGGAUGGCAAUGGAUCCUGGACCCGGUCCAGAUCCGUGGAUCCAGAUCCAUUUUUACGGAUCUGGAUCUCAUUUUUUAAAAUGGAUAUGGAUCUGGAUCUUAAAAUUUUAGAUCCGGAUCCGACCCAGAUCCGACCCGUGGAUCCGUUUAUUUUAAUAUAUAUUAUUUAUUUUUUAUAUUUAAUUUAGUAAUAAUAUUAAAUAUAAUUAAAAAUUAAUAAUAAUACACAAAUUAGAAUUGACAAACCCUAGUUUCUAAUUUUAUCCAACUCUCUCGGUCCUCCUCUCCACUCCAGCUGCCAGGUCGCCGCCUUCCCUCACCAGCCUUCCUCCAGUUCGUCGGCCUCUCCACUCCAGCCGCCAGGUCACCGCCCUUCCUCUCAAUCCAGUUCGCCGGCGAAGGCGAAGCUACAGCCUCCCUCCAGUUCGUUCCAGCCUCCCUCACCCUGCGUCCCUGCCUAUCUCCCUCCCAGCCUCACCCUGCCGGCCUCCCUCGCAAUCCAGUUCGCCNUUUCUAAAUUACAUUCGCAGCAGCUCUUUCACUCAGGAUAUUAACUAAAGGGGAAAUUCAAAAAAAUCAAAUAAUUUUUCCGAAGAAAAAAUUCCCAAUUAGUGUGCAAACAUUGUUUUCUACAGUUAAACGACAUUAUAGAGCCCAUAACAAGUACUAAAAGAGUGAAAGGAACAAUCUUUCAAAAAAAAUCAGUACCCCUUCCCAAAAAACACCCACUGUCCACUGAAUCCUAAAUUAGGAAAGGAAUAGGAAAUAAAAAAUCAAAUUUACCGACAAAAAAGAGUAGUUUUGAAGAAUCACGGUGAGUGGUCAAGUGAAGUAGUAAUGAGCAGAGAAUUAAGGAAAUUGAUGGUACCUUUACAGUUCUGUAAAUUGAGAAGUCGCAAGGAGGAGAAGGCGGCGGCAAUGACUGAGAGAUCGGAGUCGGUAACGCCGGGAUAGAAGGAGCGGGAGACGGACUGAGAGAGGUCGAGCUCGCGGAGGCGCGUGAAUCGGGCGGCGAGGCGGUUGAGCAUGUGGGGGCCGGCGCGGGCAGAGAGCUUGCGCCUCUCGAUGCUCUGGAGAUGGAGCCACCUUUUGCAGACAAGGCCGAAGAGCUCCUUGUCCUUGUCAUCUUGGAGCUUGGAGA
rnacentral:lncRNA from 1 species